CUUCCCUAUGAAGAAUGAUGUUUGUAUGUUAAAUAAAAGUAGUGGGCCAAUCUCCAUUGGUGACUAACUAAUUCUUAAGAAUG
rfam:Ricinus communis cultivar Hale ctg_1100012350074, whole genome shotgun sequence.